UAUAAAAGUCGUGUGUUUAAAUAAACAGUACUAAUAUCGUUUUGUAAUCAGUAAGAAACAGCCGUCUAGAGUAUAUUUCAAAGUGUCAUACAAAAUGAGGUGGCUGGUGUGCGGUGUUCUGCUGUUGGCUAUGUUGGAGUUACGUCAUUGUCGACCGCAAAGAAUCGUCAUGUAUCAUGUCCAGCCCAAUGGUACACUAGUACCUGCGUAUGAAAUCUUGCCUGGUGUUAUCAAUACCAAUUCUCAUUGGAACAAUGUAGGCAAUAAUCUACGCACAGACGCAAGUCAACACACAAAUUACGGUACCACUUACGGUAACAAUGAUCAGCAAGCCUCAAGUAGCUUCCUGAAAGAACAAAACUAGGUAUAGUUAUCGGCACGAAUCUUGAGCUCUGGCCUACAUCUGCGCAGAAGUGAUUUAUUAGCAAAGAACCAAUCUCGAGUGACGGCUAUGACGCGAUGCACUGCGGGCCAAUCACCGCUUUAGCCCGCCCCCGCGCUCACUUCAAACCACAAAAGGGAUCCAAUAAAUUACUUCUGCGCAGGUGAAGGUCAGAGCUCAAGAUUCGUGCCGAUAACUAUAUAAAUUUAUAUUUUUGUGUCUAUUCAAUGGUGCCCCUAACGUUAUCGACACGGAAAAUAUGGGGCCACAAACAUUUAAUAUACACUGUUACACUGUAUUUGUGUGUAUUUUCUUACCAAUAAAUAUUUCUC